rnacentral:lncRNA from 1 species
UAGAGACAGGGUCUUAUUCUGACACCCAGGCUGGAGCACAGUGGUGUGAUCACAGCUCACUGCAGCCUCAAACUCCUGGGCUCAAGUCAUCUACCCACCUCAGCCUCCUGAGUAGCUGGGAGACCACAAGUGCCAUCCAACUCUAAAAUUCUAUGAUCCCCAAGAUCACCAGUGAGAUAAGAGCAUGCCAUUAAUUAACAAAAAUAAAAAUGACAUUUGGAGGCAAGACAGCUCUGCGGGCAUACGCUAGGUAAGAGCAAAAGGGUUAAGCAGAUGUUCUAAUGUAAGCUGAAGUGAAGAAAUGCUAUAAAGACACAUGGAAACAUCAUUUUGCAUAGCUUUGAAAUAUUAAGAAGCAACAGCAGCAAACAGACCAAUUAGGGCAGAGCAAGUC